rnacentral:rRNA from 1 species
ACGAACGCUGGCGGCGUGCUUAACACAUGCAAGUCGAACGAAGAGCGAUGGAAGCUUGCUUCUAUCAAUCUUAGUGGCGAACGGGUGAGUAACGCGUCAUCAACCUGCCCUUCAGAGGGGGACAACAGUUGGAAACGACUGCUAAUACCGCAUACGAUCUAACCUCGGCAUCGAGGAAGGAUGAAAGGUGGCGUCUAUGUAUAAGCUAUCACUGAGGGAGGGGAUUGCGGCGGAGUAGCUAGUUGGGGGGGUAACGGCCCACCAAGGCGAUGAUCAGUAGCCGGUCUGAGAGGAUGAACGGCCACAUUGGGACUGAGACACGGCCCAGACUCCUACGGGAGGCAGCAGUGGGGAAUCUUCCGAAAUGGACGAAAGUCUGACGGAGCAACGCCGCGGGAGUGAUGACGGCCUUCGGGUUGGAAAGGCCUGUUAAUCGGGACGAAAGGCCUUCUUGCGAAUAGUGAGAAGGAUUGACGGUACCGGAAUAGAAAGCCACGGCUAACUACGUG